AACAAAAACAAAGUUGCUGUCAAAUCUCAGGAAGUCUGGCAGCUUCUUUGAAGGAAAAAACAAAGUUAACGUUUCGGGUCUGGUGACCUUUCCUCAAAACUGGCAUUUCCCCUCUUUGCUGUCCACUGUACCACCGAUUUUGGUAUCAUCUGCAAACUUACUAACCAGGCCUUCUAUAUCCUCAUCUAAAUCAUUUAUAUAAAUGACAACCAAAAGCAGACCCAGCAAUGAUCCCUGUGGAACACCGCUGGCAACAGGCCUCCAGUAUGGAAAACUUCCUUGCAUCACCACUCUCCAUCUCCUGCCUUUUAUCCAAUUUUGUUUAGUUUCUACUUAAUUAAUAUUCCAGUAAUAAACAUCCCUGAUGAGCUGCGGAACGGUCACCGCACCCGAAACGUUAACGCUGUUUUUGUUUUCCAUCACAGAUGUUGCCAGACCCGGUGAGCUAUUCCAGCAACUUUGUUUUAGUUCCUGAUGAGCUGCGACUUUGUACUUGACUGAUUUCCAACAUCAAAAGUUCUAAAGGUUGGAAGAGAUUGGUUUACCUUGACUUCCUAGCUUGAAAAUGUGCCUUUUAUGCAAAGAAACUGUACUCUGGGACAGUGGUUUUUCAGAUUUACCUGCAGGUCCAGCUGUGAAUCGGAGUUGAAGUAGUUGCAAGCACUGAUGAAUAGGCAGCUAUUUAGCCUCUGGAUGGAAUCCUGUGGAAGCGACGAGGGUCUAGGUCAUUGACUCGAGAACUGAUGAGGGAACGGCUUGCCCCAACCAGCUUCCCUUCAGGGGAACGCCAGCCUCAGGUCGCUCCCCUCAAGGGGUAUGUCAUCCUGACCUUGCUCCUCUCAUGCGUAGGCAGCUACAUCUUUCUCCCCUCUGGCACAUAAUAGACCGGUGGAAAACCUGGUGGGAUGUCACUUUCCAUGAGCGGUUGGCUAACCAGAACCCAGCAUGUGUACUAAGCAGCAGUGUCACUUGGGAGGUGAUGAUCUCUGUUACCAUUGGCAACCAACCUACGAUUAUUGCUCGAUCUCGGACCAGGAUUGAGUGAAACACCAUUAGCACGCCACUUCCCCUUCUUGAUGUUGCACAUUGAAUGCCUUUGAAAGCCUGUUACAUUUCUUAAUGGUGACUCCCCUGCCCACUGUUGACUCAAUACCAGUUGUUGUGGGAUGAUGUAUGUGUACGUCAGUUGCUCAAUUGGGGACUUUAACUCGCAAUGAAGUUGGGAAGUUAUGCACAAGUCUUCUCACCAUGGAUUUAAUCUGGCUCUAAGCAGAAUUGUAGGUGGUGCCAUCCUUCCACCUGAUUAAAUGUCCUCUAUUUUCAAACUUGCCACAAGGGAAAGUACAAAAUCCCGCUGUUUUUGUUAUCAAUUCAUGGUUUUUAAUUUUGCAAUCAGUGUCGUAAGCAGCAGAUUAGUUCAGUCCUUGUGAAAUUGAAGGCAAUGCAACACUUUAAUUGGUCACUUUUUAACAUGGCAGGUUCUCAGACUGAGGAAAUGGUGAAUGUUGUUGAUCUUUAAUGCAAUAUAAUGGAGGAGAGAAAAAUCUGGACUAUAGAGCCCACAGGAAGAAAAUUAUAAUCUGUCAGUGCUGCCUCCAUUAGAACAAUGCCAAGUAAAUACCCGUCCCCAUAUCGAACAAUAGAAGUUUCCUGCAUAUCAGAACAUACCCAUUGAGUGGGGAACUGAUGAAUAAUGCAGGAGCACCAUCGGAUUGAAAUACUUUUAUUCUAAGAAUUUCAGAACAUGCUGGGAUUUUUAUAGCAAGCAAUACUUGUGAUGGAAUAUUCUUUUAAUGUCAAAAUGCUGCAACAGUUUGGAAGAACCAAUAUUAAAUGGAUAUUAUUGCAGAUAAUAUAUGUGAAUUAAAUAAAAUUGUUUGCUUAAAGUAUUUUGUAAUUCGAAUUGAAUGUCGCAUUUUUGUAUCUUAGUUGUCUUCUGUUUCUAAUUUUUCUUAUUUUUAUAGAGCAGGUAUUGUCCUGGUCACUUGUAAUGCUGCCAAUUCAAGAUUAACUACAUGGAUGGUCUCUAUCAGUUGCUUAAUCCCCGAUGUCAGUUUGCAAUCCUGAAUCCAAGAUUGUCACUUCAUCUUUCAAUUCUGUGUAUAAUCAAAGUCUGAGAUCAACAGCUUUCAUUUUACUAUCUGGAAGUCAAUCAGUGCAGAUUUUGUUUGUAAACAAGCGUUCUGUAUGUAAAACUGCUUCGUUUAAUUAGAUUAGUUAGUUAAGAUUCAUUUUAAUGAAAUGAAUCAUAACUAAGCUUCAUCUCUUCCUCAUUCUGAUUCUGAACACAUGGUAUGUCACGCAAUGGCAAUUCAAUUUUGCAUUGGUGCCGGUUCAAACCAUGUGUUUUCCAACUACAGAUUGAUACAGAUGAAAUUGUACCAUUUCCUUUUUAGUACCAUUCUCACCAUACAGUGUUUCUGUUCAUUACGUUUCUGUGCACAGUUCUGAACCAGUCCCCUUGCCCCUGAGCUUGCCAAAUGUCUCAAUGUUGUCAUGACAUUGUCAAAGAAUUCAUUCCUUGGUAGAUUCAGAGAUAAAUUAAUGUAACCUAGUAUGUGUUAAUGCCUCUGCUGUAAUCGGGCGAAACACUCAGGCCAUUGUCUUAAUUUUUCUCUCUUGUAUUUAUAUUGAAAUGUUGACCAUGCCAUUUGCUCCACUUACUGGAAUUGGACUUGUUACAGAAGUGCUGAACGUCAACUUGCCAAAUACAAUUGGAUGAAAAGUAUGAGGCCAAUCAGUCUCUUGAAACACUUUCUCUAUGCAAUCAACAUAACAACAUUCAUUGACAAUGAAAAAUUACGUACGUGCUUCAGAAGAUUAGAUUUGAAACAGAGAUUUGUGAAUAUGAAUGGAGCUAUAUAUGUCCCCAUCUCAGGCACCAACCUCAAGUUCACCUGGACUAUCUACAACACCUCUGUCACCUUCCUGGACCUCUCUGUCUCCAUCUCAGAACCUAACCCGGAAGAGAGAGCCCAGAGAAUUGCCAAAGCUGUCCUCAAACAGUCAACAGAAGUGAAGGAAAAUUGGGAGCAAUUGAAAAUCCAUGCAAGCAACUGGCAGAAACAGGUGGAAAAGGCAUUGGAGAAACUUCAAGAACUGCAGAAAGCUCUGGAUGAUCUUGAGGCUCGUGAUAACAGCUGAGGGGGUCCACACUGAUUGGCAACCUGUGGGUGACCUGCUUAUUGACUCAUUGCAGGAUCACAUUGAUAAAACCAAAAUAAGUGCAAUUACAUUGCACUUCACUUAUGAACAGAUGUAACUGCAAUGUUGUAUCGAGACGAUCAGUAAUAUGAGUACUUAAGUAAUAUUGAUUGAAUGGUUGUUAACUUAAUUUGAAAAUUAAAACUUAGUUGAGCAUG